rnacentral:rRNA from 1 species
GCAUAUCAAUAAGCGGAGGAAAAGAAACCAACAGGGAUUGCCCUAGUAACGGCGAGUGAAGCGGCAACAGCUCAAAUUUGAAAGCUAGCCUUCGGGUUCGCAUUGUAAUUUGUAGAGGAUGCUUUGGGUAAAACGCCAGUCUAAGUUCCUUGGAACAGGACGUCAUAGAGGGUGAGAAUCCCGUAUGUGACUGGAAAUGUUAACCUAUGUAAAGCUCCUUCGACGAGUCGAGUUGUUUGGGAAUGCAGCUCUAAAUGGGAGGUAAAUUUCUUCUAAAGCUAAAUAUUGGCGAGAGACCGAUAGCGCACAAGUAGAGUGAUCGAAAGAUGAAAAGCACUUUGGAAAGAGAGUUAAAAAGCACGUGAAAUUGUUGAAAGGGAAGCGCUUGCAAUCAGACUUGUUUAAACUGUUCGGCCGGUCUUCUGACCGGUUUACUCAGUUUGGACAGGCCAGCAUCAGUUUCGGCGGCCGGAUAAAGGCAUUGGGAAUGUGGCCUUCACUUCGGUGGAGGUGUUAUAGCCCAGUGUGUAAUACGGCCAGCCGGGACUGAGGUCCGCGCUUCGGCUAGGAUGCUGGCGUAAUGGUUGUAAGCGACCCGUCUUGAAACACGGACCAAGGAGUCUAACAUCUAUGCGAGUGUUCGGGUGUCAAACCCCUGCGCGUAAUGAAAGUGAACGGAGGUGGGAACCGCAAGGUGCACCAUCGACCGAUCCUGAUGUCUUCGGAUGGAUUUGAGUAAGAGCAUAGCUGUUGGGACCCGAAAGAUGGUGAACUAUGCCUGAAUAGGGUGAAGCCAGAGGAAACUCUGGUGGAGGCUCGCAGCGGUUCUGACGUGCAAAUCGAUCGUCAAAUUUGGGUAUAGGGGCGAAAGACUAAUCGAACCAUCUAGUAGCUGGUUCCUGC